GGUAAAAUGGCUGAUUUAUAGGCGAUAAAUUGUAAAUUUAUUUAAGAAUGUUUUUCUUUUACCA
rnacentral:tRNA from 1 species